ACGUAGGGUGCAAGCGUUAAUCGGAAUUACUGGGCGUAAAGCGUGCGCAGGCGGUUUUUUAAGACAGAGGUGAAAUCCCCGGGCUCAACCUGGGAACUGCCUUUGUAACUGCAAAGCUGGAGUGCGGCAGAGGGGGGUGGAAUUCCACGUGUAGCAGUGAAAUGCGUAGAUAUGCGGAAGAACACCGAUGGCGAAGGC
rnacentral:rRNA from 1 species